rnacentral:ribozyme from 14 species
GGCGGUAGGUAUUAUGUAUAGUUAGUCUAUACAAGAGAAAAGCAAAGGAGGUGAAGAAAUGAUUGUGCUUUUGGUGUAACAAGUUUUUUUUUUUUCCUUCUUGUUGUCAACAAUGGGAAAGAAGCAUGCUAAAAAAAAGUUUUUUGUUGGGAUCUCCUGUUUUUUUUUAGUUAUAUUCACUUAUUAAUAUUGCAGGGUGUUGGAUUAAACAGAAA